rnacentral:lncRNA from 1 species
GUGCACCAGCUGCUUCUGGGUCUGCUUCUGUAUCCUGUCCACUGCCGUGCUGUACUUCCACAUCAACAGGUUUUGUGUCUGGCCAUGCUUAGGGGGAAGUAAGGAUGGAAUCAGGCAGCAGACGGUGAAAGAGGCAACGCACCCGGGGCUGGGCCGCGGUGUGCCUCCAGCUGCGGCACGCAGCCCACGGGAGCCUCGUGCUGAACGCCGCUGCGCCGGCCUUCAGCGGGACGGCCGUCACAACGCGUGUUUAAACGAGAGAGGGAAUAAACCGCCUCGCCUCAGCAGGACGAUAAGGCGGCCAGGCACGGAAAUCGUUCCCGGUGAGCCGGGAGAGUCCCUUAGAGACAGACGGGAGCCUCGGGAAACUCCCGAGCCCGGCACUCGGCGAAGCACCUCCGGCAGCGGGCUGCACUGCUCCCGCCCGCUGAGC